ACGAACGCUGGCGGCGUGCUUAACACAUGCAAGUCGAGCGGAAAGGCCCUUCGGGGUACUCGAGCGGCGAACGGGUGAGUAACACGUGAGUAACCUACCUCGAACUCUGGGAUAAGCCUGGGAAACUGGGUCUAAUACCGGAUGUUCAUCUCCUGCUGCAUGGUGGGGGAUGGAAAGUGUUUAGCGGUUCGGGAUGGGCUCGCGGCCUAUCAGCUUGUUGGUGAGGUAAUGGCUUACCAAGGCUUUUACGGGUAGCCGGCCUGAGAGGGCGACCGGCCACACUGGGACUGAGAUACGGCCCAGACUCCUACGGGAGGCAGCAGUGGGGAAUAUUGCGCAAUGGGCGGAAGCCUGACGCAGCAACGCCGUGUGAGGGAUGACGGCCUUCGGGUUGUAAACCUCUUUCACCAGGGACGAAGCUUUUGUGACGGUACCUGGGGAAGAAGCGCCGGCCAACUACGUGCCAGCAGCCGCGGUAACACGUAGGGCGCGAGCGUUGUCCGGGAAUUAUUGGGCGUAAAGGGCUCGUAGGCGGUUUGUCGCGUCAAAAGUGAAAAUCCGGGGCUCAACUCCGGACUUGCUUUCGAUACGGGCAGGCUAGAGGUAGGCAGGGGAGAAUGGAAUUCCUGGUGUAGCGGUGGAAUGCGCAGAUAUCAGGAGGAACACCGGUGGCGAAGGCGGUUCUCUGGGCCUUACCUGACGCUGAGGAGCGAAAGCGUGGGGAGCGAACAGGAUUAGAUACCCUGGUAGUCCACGCUGUAAACGUUGGGCGCUAGGUGUGGGAGUCUUUUGUGACGUCCGUGCCGUAGCUAACGCAUUAAGCGCCCCGCCUGGGGAGUACGGUCGCAAGACUAAAACUCAAAGGAAUUGACGGGGGCCCGCACAAGCGGCGGAGCAUGUUGCUUAAUUCGAGGCAACGCGAAGAACCUUACCUGGGUUUGACAUGUGGGUUAAUCCGGCAGAGAUGUCGGGUCCUUUUGGGAACUCAUGCAGGUGGUGCAUGGCUGUCGUCAGCUCGUGUCGUGAGAUGUUGGGUUAAGUCCCGCAACGAGCGCAACCCUCGUCCUAUGUUGCCAGCACGUUAUGGUGGGGACUCAUAGGAGACUGCCGGGGUCAACUCGGAGGAAGGUGGGGAUGAUGUCAAGUCUUCAUGCCCCUUAUGUCCAGGGCUGCAAACAUGCUACAAUGGUCGGUACAAUGGGCUGCGAGACCGUGAGGUGGAGCGAAUCCCUAAAAGCCGGCCUCAGUUCGGAUCGGGGUCUGCAACUCGACCCCGUGAAGUUGGAGUCGCUAGUAAUCGCGGAUCAGCAACGCCGCGGUGAAUACGUUCCCGGGCCUGCACUCACCGCC
rnacentral:rRNA from 1 species